rnacentral:rRNA from 1 species
GAUGAACGCUGGCGGCGUGCCUAAUACAUGCAAGUCGAGCGAACGGAUGAGAAGCUUGCUUCUCUGAUGUUAGCGGCGGACGGGUGAGUAACACGUGGAUAACCUACCUAUAAGACUGGGAUAACUUCGGGAAACCGUAGCUAAUACCGGAUAAUAUUUUGAACCGCAUGGUUCAAAAGUGAAAGACGGUCUUGCUUUCACUUAUAGAUGGAUCCGCGCUGCAUUAGCUAGUCGGUAAGGUAACGGCUUACCAAGGCAACGAUGCAUAGCCGACCUGAGAGGGUGAUCGGCAACACUGGAGCUGAGACGCGGGCCAGAAUCGUACGGGAGGCAGCAGUAGGGAAUCUUCCGCAAUGGGCGAAAGCGUGACGGAGGAACGCCGCGUGAGUGAUGAAGGUCUACGGAUCGUAAAACUCUGUUAUUAGGGAAGAACAUAUGUGUAAGUAACUGUGCAAAUCUUGACGGUACCUAAUCAGAAAGCCACGGCUAACUACGU